rnacentral:rRNA from 1 species
AGGACGAACGCUGGCGGCGUGCUUAACACAUGCAAGUCGAGCGACGCUCCUCCUUCGGGAGGAUGACGGAGCGGCGAACGGGUGAGUAACACGUGGGCAACCUGCCCCUAGCUCUGGGAUAACCCCGGGAAAUCGGGACUAAUACCGGAUAUGAAGUCGGACGGCAUCGUCUGACUUGGAAAGUUUUUCGGCUAGGGAUGGGCCCGCGGCCUAUCAGCUUGUUGGUGGGGUAAUGGCCUACCAAGGCGACGACGGGUA